GUAUUCACUUUGGCAGCACAUAUGCUAAAAUUGUAAUGAUACAAAGAAAAUUAACGUGGCUCCUGUGCAAUUUUGACAUACAAAUGGAUGAAGUGUUCCAUAUUUAA